rnacentral:lncRNA from 1 species
AUUAACCAUGACUCACAGUAAUUAAGCGAUGUGGCUCGACUCUUUGAUUCCGGAUGUUGACCAAACCCCUUUUAUCCCCUCCAAAUCUUUGUCUUGGUACCGUGAUGUUAAAUCCCAAAACCCAACCUCAAUGUCUUGAAUGAACUGGUCUGGACUGAUCAGAACUCGGAAAGAACUUUCUUUCUCUUUUAGACAGUCUUUCGGAACAUCCCGGCAGUUUAUCGGUCUUCGAAAAAUGUCUAUACUUCUAAAGCACCUCACUCUUUCUCUCUCUCUCUCUCUCUCUCUC